rnacentral:rRNA from 1 species
CAUGGCAGUCCGACGAUGAUGCCCAGCUUGCUGGGUGGAUUAGUGGCGAACGGGUGAGUAACACGUGAGUAACCUGCCCCUGACUCUGGGAUAAGCGUUGGAAACGACGUCUAAUACUGGAUAUGAUCACUGGCCGCAUGGUCUGGUGGUGGAAAGAUUUUUUGGUUGGGGAUGGACUCGCGGCCUAUCAGCUUGUUGGUGAGGUAAUGGCUCACCAAGGCGACGACGGGUAGCCGGCCUGAGAGGGUGACCGGCCACACUGGGACUGAGACACGGCCCAGACUCCUACGGGAGGCAGCAGUGGGGAAUAUUGCACAAUGGGCGAAAGCCUGAUGCAGCAACGCCGCGUGAGGGAUGACGGCCUUCGGGUUGUAAACCUCUUUUAGUAGGGAAGAAGCGAAAGUGACGGUACCUGCAGAAAAAGCACCGGCUAACUACGUGCCAGCAGCCGCGGUAAUACGUAGGGUGCAAGCGUUGUCCGGAAUUAUUGGGCGUAAAGAGCUCGUAGGCGGUUUGUCGCGUCUGCUGUGAAAUCCCGAGGCUCAACCUCGGGCUUGCAGUGGGUACGGGCAGACUAGAGUGCGGUAGGGGAGAUUGGAAUUCCUGGUGUAGCGGUGGAAUGCGCAGAUAUCAGGAGGAACACCGAUGGCGAAGGCAGAUCUCUGGGCCGUAACUGACGCUGAGGAGCGAAAGCAGGGGGAGCGAACAGGAUUAGAUACCCUGGUAGUCCAUGCCGUAAACGU